rnacentral:lncRNA from 1 species
AUGGAUAAAGGUCAUAAACCGAAGAAAAGCUCGUCAAAAGGCGUGAGAGAUGCAAAGGCAUACAGGGAAGGACUUGGACCGGGCGAAAAAGCACGAUAUUUGAGGAAGUUAGAUUUGAUUGGUGGUGCAGAUCCCUACGAGUUGGCUCCCUCGUCUUGGAUCAAUGACGACCCGGAGAGUCUUCCGUCUGUUUGUUAUCCUGACAUCGUCAACUACCUGGUUUUCUCGCCAAGCCCAUACACAGCGGAAGACCUUAAAGCGUACAAAAGUUUGGAGGCCUAUAACCAGAUGGUGUGUGGAUGGGUGAGGGAGAUUCAAUACCAAGUCAUCGACGACAGAUGUGUUGCGAAGGCCAAAGUUCUCCAUUCUCAAUCAAUCCGAGAAACACCCCUGGAACCCUGGAUAAUCGCUGAGAAGUCUGGUCGGAUACUUGGAGCCCACUGCACGUGUAUGGCUGGCCUCGGAGAGACGUGCACACAUGUUGCUGCAUUAUUGUUUCUCAUAGAAGAAACAGUGAAGUUGAGGGACUCAAAGACAGUGACGCAAGAGAAGGCGUAUUGGCUGUUACCUACUGCACUGUCUAAGGUGGAAUACAGGGAAUGCCGGAAGAUUGACUUCACUGUAACCAAGAGGUCUCAAGUAAAAGAGCUGGCAGGAUGAAAUGUGCUGCUCUUGGACAGCCACUUGAGGACCCAAGUCAUACUUCCACUUCUUCUACUGUUACAGUUGGGAUACCGCAACAGCCAACCAGUGAUGAACUGUCAUCAUUAUUCAGUGCUCUUAGCGCGACAGGAUCAAAGCUAUUUUGUUCCUGAUUGAGCCUUACUCUGACAGUUUUGUUCCAAAAUCAAUUGGAGAAAAUUUACCUCUUGUGUUGACGGAAUUGC